AACGAACGCUGGCGGCAUGCCUAACACAUGCAAGUCGAACGAACCCUUCGGGGUUAGUGGCGCACGGGUGCGUAACGCGUGGGAAUCUGCCCUUUGCUUCGGAAUAACAGUUAGAAAUGACUGCUAAUACCGGAUGUUGUCUUCGGACCAAAGAUUUAUCGGCAAGGGAUGAGCCCGCGUAGGAUUAGGUAGUUGGUGGGGUAAAGGCCUACCAAGCCGACGAUCCUUAGCUGGUCUGAGAGGAUGAUCAGCCACACCGGGACUGAGACACGGCCCAGACUCCUACGGGAGGCAGCAGUGGGGAAUAUUGGACAAUGGGCGCAAGCCCGAUCCAGCAAUGCCGCGUGAGUGAUGAAGGCCUUCGGGUCGUAAAGCUCUUUUACCAGGGAUGAUAAUGACAGUACCUGGAGAAUAAGCUCCGGCUAACUCCGUGCCAGCAGCCGCCGUAA
rnacentral:rRNA from 1 species